GGCCGCACCCGGCGCCGGGUCAGCGCACCGCGUCGUCGGCGCGGGGCGUGAUAGUCGAUGCGGGCACGAGGUUCCAUGCCUCGAGCUGCUU
rnacentral:tRNA from 1 species